UACGUAGGGACCAAGCGUUGUUCGGAUUUACUGGGCGUAAAGGGCGCGUAGGCGGCUUUGUAAGUCACUUGUGAAAUCUCUGAGCUUAACUCAGAACGGCCAAGUGAUACUGCAAUGCUAGAGUGCAGAAGGGGCAAUCGGAAUUCUUGGUGUAGCGGUGAAAUGCGUAGAUAUCAAGAGGAACACCUGAGGUGAAGACGGGUUGCUGGGCUGACACUGACGCUGAGGCGCGAAAGCCAGGGGAGCAAAC
rnacentral:rRNA from 1 species